GCCCAGUCACACCAUGGGAGUUGGUUUUACCUGAAGACGGUGCGCUAACCCGCAAGGGAGGCAGCCGGCCACGGUAGGGUCAGCGACUGGGGUGAAGUCGUAACAAGGUAGCCGUAGGGGAACCUGCGGCUGGAUCACCUCCUUUCUAAGGAUGAUCCUUCAGCGAGCUCACGCUCACUAUCGGAUCGUUUUAGAAACAUCAGUGGCCAACAGAUCGCCAGAUCGUUGAGCUGCAUUGGCGGGAUUUCGCCGUCUUCGUUUCUCUUUCUUCGCGGACGAACACGCGCUGGGCCUGCAUCAAGCAGGAUCCCACGGUCCCUGACGGGAUAUGCGUUAGGGGCUUGUAGCUCAGUUGGUUAGAGCGCGCGCUUGAUAAGCGUGAGGUCGGAAGUUCAAGUCUUCCCAGGCCCACCACUUUCAUCGAGUGAGCAUUCGUCUUCUGGUUACGGGGCCAUAGCUCAGCUGGGAGAGCGCGUGCUUUGCAAGCAUGAGGUCGUCGGUUCGAUCCCGUCUGGCUCCACCACGCUUCGCCUUUCAGGCUUCGCGUGGCGCAGCCAAGCACGGUCGAAGCGUGCCCGGCGUAGCUCACUUGAGCGUAGACGGGCUGGUUGAGAUCAGCCCGUAACCAUCACCGUCCGCGAAACAUCACUUCGCAUCCUGCUAGUCUGGAUAGACAGCAAGAUGCGUGUUUUCUGACAUCGUAUAGAGGAGAUCGAUCCGAGUUGGGUCGUGCAGCAGAUUGUUGCGCGAAUCCUUCAUUAUCUCCGGAUCAUUUUCGGCGCUCGCUUUCAGCCGUGAGGUUGAAUGCGAGUUGUAAAAUGAUCCUUUUAGCGAAGCUUGACCGCCUCGCUAUCGGAACGAUCUUACGAAGCAAGCUGGUCUUUCUAGUCAAUGUCCGGCUGCACGUAGCAUUCAUCGAGGGUGCGCGCCGUAAGGCAAUCGUGCAGACAACAUUCUGGCCGAGUGUGUGGGACAUUGAUAAUGAAGAGCAAUCAAGUGCCUUAAGGGGUGUUCGGUGGGAUGCCUUGGCCCCUGAAAAGCCAAUGAAAGGACGUGCUUACCCUGCGAAUAAGCC
rnacentral:misc_RNA from 1 species